GCCGGUGUAGCUCAGUUGGUAGAGCACCUCACUUGUAAUGAGGAUGUCGGGGGUUCGAAGCCUCUCGCCGGCUCCA
rnacentral:tRNA from 1 species